GGGCCUCAGCCUGAGACUCCCCAGGCCCCGGCAGAGCCGGACGCCGCCCCCUGGCGGCAGGUGGGCGCCAGCACAGCCCAUGCUAAUGAGCCCGCGGCGCGGCUCGCGGAUUGGCUGGCGCGGAUCCCGGCCCUCCCGGGGGCGCGUGCCGAGCGGGAGUGAAGGGGGCGCCGCCGGCAGCCCCGCCCGCCCCCCAGCCCGCCGCGCGCAGCCGCCUCCCCCGGACGCCAGGGCGUGUGCGGGGCUCGCGGGCUCCUGCGCUCCGGGGCUGUGCUUUUCUGUACCGCGAGUGUUCUGGUUGUGAAUUCAUCCAGGGUCCAGGAUGACGAUCCGACACCAAGGCCAGCAGUACAGGCCGAGGAUGGCAUUUCUCCAGAAGGUGAGCGCGGUCCCAUCCCCUGGGCCCCGGGAGGUACGCAGGGACCCAACUCUGGGAAGUGUCCGAGGAGAUGCUGGGGAUGCUCGGAGCGUGUGGGCAGGAGUGGAGCAGUGAGGGCAUCCCCUGUGGUCCACUAGUGCUGCUCGAUGUUUUGUGAUAAUAUCUAUUGAGCUUUCCAGGCUGCCUCUUGGUCCUGAAGAAUCGGCAUUGCUUGGGCAGAAUGUCGGAGGGUGAAGAGCCUGGUACCCGGUGCAGAGGUGCACGGGCUGCAGUUAGCUGGGUCCACUCCAGCUCUGAGCCACGUAAGGUAAGGAAACUGAGGCUAGUGAGGGCCAACCCUGGAAGAACUGUGGGUGUGAUACGGCGAAGCUGGGCCCACCACAAUGGUGGAAACAUAGAGGACAGCAUGCAGUGGGAAGGAGCUUCCAUUUCUACGCUUCUGCAUGAGGAGGAGGGAAGGGACCUGGAGGAGAGCCUUGAAGCUGAGAUUGAAGGAUGCUGGGCUUCUGCCGGGUGAGGAAAGGUGGAAGGAGGACCCAGGCCAUGGAGGGGCGUGUGCCAGAGGGGUGUGCAGGUCUGGUGCGUCUGAGGCAAGCCGUUCGCUGUUGCUGAGCUUAUUAUAUAAGAGGAGUGUGCGGCCGGACAGGCAGGCAAACUGCCUUCAAAGGUCAUCUGAUUUUUCCCCAAAGAAGCCACUGAGGAAUUUCGAGCAGGAACACAGGAUGGUAAAAGCUUCUUUAUAUGAAAUACUACGUAACACAAUCUUAUAGUGUCGGAGAAGGUAAAUCCGCUGCACGAAAGAACAUAUACACACACCCAGGAUAGGAUGGCGGACAUUAUGCGCAUUUUAAAAUUGAGGACACUCAAGUUCAAAAACUUCAGGCAGUGAGCGCCUGCGGCAAGUGGCCGUCCUGGAAGAGAAAGAACCCAGCUGGUGUCCCGCAAGUAACCUAUAAUCGCGAGACUCCCAUUUCUCCUUGGAAAGAGAACGUGAUUUUAAUCCGCAGGGAGGGCGUGCCCCUCCCACCCUGUACCUUCUGUCCUAUUGCAAAUUGCGCUCUGUGUGUUCCCCCUUUACCCCGCUGUUCUUCCAGGGCCACGGUUCCUCAGCUUUUGACCUGACUUCUCACUCCCAAAUCUGGCCGCAAUCAAAUAUUAAGGUACAUCUUUGGUUUUAGUUACUUGACUGUUUUUUAUUUUAUUGAGGUCAUAUUGGUUUUAAAAUGGGCAAGACGGCCGUUCUCUCAAAUACACAAAAACAGGCCCUAAAUUAUGUUUUUUUCUUUUUUUAAGUUGGGGCGUCCCCAUUAUUUUCUACGAGCCAGUUGGCCUCCAGCAGUUAUAAAAAGGAACGAAGUCCAUAGCUCUGGGUAUUCGGGGGACGAUCCCGAAGCAUCACUCGGGGGAAAAGGACCCCGGCGCCGUGGCUUCGAGGUAGCCCCUCCGUGAAGCCUUCCUCCCCUCACCUCAACUCCGCGGCGUGCGGGUCCGCAGACCAGGCUCCGCCUGCGGCCCCCCGCCCCGGCUUUUGGAACCCGACAACCCUCGGUACACCUCCCAAGAGCCCCAACUUGAGAACAGAGCCUCCCGUCGCCCGCCAAACCCCUUAAAGGGGGGCGGGUGGGGCGUGGCCGGAAGUGGCUCGCCGGGGGAAGUCUGUCUCCGGGGAGUCUGCGUUUCCUCUCUAGGAGUUGGGAGGUAUCCGCACUUCUAUGGUCUGGACCUCGUGCGGAGCUGCCCCACGAAGGAGAGGGGGCGCCGGGUCCGGCGGGUUAGAGCGCUGAUCCCUGCCUACCCUUUUCUACCUGUGUGCACUUGGCAGCACUACUGGCAGAGAGUCGGAAAUUGCCCUCGUCACGAUUUUAAAAAAUGGAGAUACAGAAACCCAGUAAGGCAGCCGCAAAACUCCUCAACGGUUUUCUAGCCGUUUUUUGUUGGUGUAUGCGCACAUAUUUUGACCUGAGUCUAACUUUCAUGCAAUAACACUGCUAAAAUGACCCUAAAUAAUUAAAAAAAAAAAAAAAGGCUUUGCAUUUGAAGUACCUUUUAAACUUGAACCCCCGGCUGGGGCUGGACCUGCUGCUCCCGUCCCUUCUCACAGAGCCAGCCCUCUUGUUCCCAGAACUGCAGGGAUGAAUGAGCACACCUGCUCCUCCCCUCACCCCUGGGCGCCCAGCUGGCUCAUCUGUUGAUUCAGAGGUUCAUGUUACCAACUUUGACUACUCUCUUAUUUGGAUUUUCGGCUCUAAAAAGAGAAAGGGAAAACUAUACAAAUACAAAUAUAGAGUCUAAUAAAAUUAGAAUUGUUUAGGUUUAAAAAAUGUAAUAGCAUCCAACACAGAAAAGGGUGUGGUGAAAUUAGUUCAUUCUGGGCAAACACAAUGGAAAUAUGCAAUCCUGUUGAAAAACUACUUGGCAUCCUGUAUCAAAACUCAUUUAACAUGAGAUGUUAUCUGUGGGAAAUUUAUCCCAAGCAAAUAAUCCAAGAGAAAGGAAAAGCUGCAUUUCUGAAAUUAUUCUACAAUAGAUAACUGUUGAUUUUGCUUGCCCAACAUCCAGUUUUCUUUUUUCUGAUUUUAAUACUAUGAUUUUUAUGUGGGAAACUAGUUAGCUCUCAUUCCACUUCUGGGGUGGGCACAUGACCCAGGCUGGACAAUCAGAAUAUCUCAGCAUGGCAUGGAGGUAAGGUAUGAAGCCAGAGGCCAGGCUGCCUGGGUCCUAAUCCUGCCUCUGCUGCUUAAUAGGUACUUAAUGAACUUCAGCUUGUUCUUUAUCCUCUUUGAGUCUGAAUUUACUCGCUUGUUGAAUGAGGAUAUUGAUAAUAAACAUCAACUUCCUAGGGUUGUGGUGAGGACUAAAUGAAUGAAGCAGGUAUGCUAAGGCCCAUCAUGUACUACCGUUAUCAUUUCCCAUCUUCACACCUCUGAGCAGGUUCUCACCACCCUUCCUUGACUUACUUUUCUUUUUGUCUUCCACAUACUCCAAUAUCAUCUACUGCAAUAUCUCAGAAUUCUAUUUUCUUUCUUUCUUUCCUACUGGAAAUACCCUAAAGUCAGGACCGUGUCUUAUUCACCUUUAUACCUGGGUGCUUAACACAGUUCCCACUCCAGAAACGGUGCUUAAUAAAGGUUUGUUGAACAAAACUGAAUACUCUUCAACACAGAGCAGAGAAGGCUGGAAGAAUGAAUGAAAGUGUAAUAAAUCCUAGAGGAUAAACAAAAGGGAAAUAGAGAGAACCACAUGAAGCUAGAACAAUUUUCUUACAAGAAAUGGCUCGAUCCCUGGGGAUUGCAGACUCUAUUUCUUCCUGGCCCUGGACUUACUCUCAUAUGGUGGGCGGAUGAGUUCCAGCGAUAGACUGGUACCUAAAGCCAACUUUCUGAAUUACUGCUUCCUUUUUCUUCCUUUGACCCAUCUCUUCCCUGGGGGAUUGGCAGGAGAAAAGACGACUGCCUUCAGAGAGAUCAGAUCUGCACUCAGGAUAUCAGACACCGCUCUGCAAGCCCAAUAUUCAUGUGUAAAAACUCAUACAUACAAGGCAAAGUGGAGAGGCAGCUCAAGGGGGCGGGCUUCAUUCAGUGCAUGGAGCAGGUGGAUCAUGCCAGCUAGGACACCCUUUCUAAUGAGUGAUUGCCUUGCUUCUGAUGGUGAUACUGGGUUAGUGAUAUCAGCAUCUAUUUCUCUGCCAUAUGAGACUCCCUUGGAGCCACACUCAUCUGAGACUCAAAAAUUCUUAGAGUUGGUAGAAAUGGACAGGAACAUUUAGAUUACCACUGAGUGUAGUGUAGAUAUCAUCUAUGUCAUCUUGGGCCAUGGCCACGGCCGCUUAAGCUAUGAGCACUCCAAUGACACCCAAUUCCCUGGUCUAUGAGAUAACCUAUUGUAGGGGCAUUAGCUGGCAUGCCCCUUUAAAAACCAUGUGUCCUUGAGGCUCCUGUCUGCGCUAUGUGCCAGCACUCAUGAUGCUCACAGUCCUGGGCUUGGCCACCCAGCUGCUUUCUCAUGGGAGAGUUAGCACCAAAACCCUCGCGGUCUGAGGGAACACAGAGGCCCUCUAGGGGCUCUGGUCCUUGGAAUGGAGGUCAUACAAGGACGAUCCCCCUUGCCACGCACACAGUCUUUGUUCCUCUGCCUACUUAAGCAAGCUUCUCUCAGGGGUUGAUAGCGGGUGCAGGUCACUGUCCAGCUAGCCACCACUGGACCUUUCCUGUAACUCCCAAUAAACCCAUAUGCUUUGUUUGCUGUCUCCAGGUCUUUUCUUUGGUGUCUUGGCAACUUAUCCCACACUGCUCACCCAGAUGGGCGUGUGGCAGAACUCUUGGUGAGCCAGCCAGGAGAACAAAGGAAACUGUGUGAGUGCCAAGACUAUGAGGGAUGGGAAGGGGAAAUCCACGGGGGUAAUCCCGGGUUGGCUGAUGUCCUCCUUGUGGGGGCCAAUUGCCACCACCCUUGAUGGAUGGGGCCCAGUGCAUGAGGACGGGGACACCCUGAAAAUGCCAAAGGACGUAGGGGAAAGUCCUGGGCAUGAGAGAAGCCCAGGCCAUUGCCACAGCUGUGGAGUAACCCCUCUCCACUGUAGGACAGCUUGCAACAAAGGCAAGGGAAGUCACAUGAUAAAUGAUGAGAGAAAGAAAUCAGAAGCCUGAGCGGUAGCUGCUGCGGUGAGAUGUCCCCUCCUUGCCACUGUUCGCUUAACAACAAAAGCCAAAAUGGAAGCUAAGGCGAAGGUGAGGCAGCUACAAGAGAAAUUAAAAUUAGAAAGGGAAGCACGGCUGGUUCAAGUCAAAACGAUCGAGGCUCUGUCAACACGCCUACGGGAGUUUGAUGAGAGGACGGAGGUCUGACCAGCCCCAACCGCAGGGGUAGAGCCCAUGGAUCUGCCUCAGCCUGUUUGGCAUGUGCAUUCCACCAUGCGGGAUUCCACUGCUGCAGAACUGGAGGAAGUGGGGAGCAAGUAAACUAAGCAGAUGUGAAAAGGGUAAAAAUUUGAGGGGGAACCUUUUAACAAUAAUUAUAUAUUAUGGUACAUGUACUUAAAAUAGCCCAAGAUGAUGGCUAACUGCUUUAAUGUCAGAUGAGGUUUUUGUGAGUAAUCUAAACAUAAUUCUUGGGAACAAAUGAUUUAAAUAAAAAUUGGUAAGAGUUUUCAGGUACAAUAAUUAUGUUUUAUAAUAUAAACUCUUGAAAAACAGCUUCCAAAAUCUUUUUGGUAACUUGAAACUUUAGGGUUUUGCUAAAUUAAGUUAAAUGAUAAAAAUUCAUGGAGUAUCUUGGUCAUUUUCACAUAAGAUAAAAUUUUAAAAAUUGAUUACUAAGCAUAGAUUUGUCUGCUUUUGGUUUCUUGUCUCAAAGAACCUAAAAGAUGCUUGAGUUUAUUGAUAAACGUGUUCUGUACCUGCUGAGGAAUUUUCUAUGAGAAAACACAUAUUUCUAAAAAGUCUCUAUACAAGGAAAGUAAAAUGUAUGUUUUCAAUAAAGAAGGUAUAAAGAACAGAGAUAUUUUUCUUUGUUUUGUUACAAAAGAUAAAUUUGUCCUAAAGUACUAGGAAGGAAAAAAAAGACGUGG
ensembl:lncRNA